UACGGGGGGUGCGAGCGUUGUCCGGAAUCACUGGGCGUAAAGGGCGCGUAGGUGGCGUGAUAAGGGUGUGGUGAAAGCCCGGGGCUCAACCCCGGGUCUGCCAUGCCGACUGUCAGGCUAGAGUACUGUAGGGGCAGGCGGAAUUCCGGGUGUAGCGGUGGAAUGCGUAGAUAUUCGCAAGAACACCAGUGGCGAAGGCGGCUCACUGGCCCGAUACUGACGCUGAGGCACGAAAGCGUGGGGAGCAAACAGG
rnacentral:rRNA from 1 species